GAUGAACGCUGGCGGCGUGCCUAAUACAUGCAAGUCGAGCGAACAGACGAGGAGCUUGCUCCUCUGACGUUAGCGGCGGACGGGUGAGUAACACGUGGAUAACCUACCUAUAAGACUGGGAUAACUUCGGGAAACCGGAGCUAAUACCGGAUAAUAUAUUGAACCGCAUGGUUCAAUAGUGAAAGACGGUUUUGCUGUCACUUAUAGAUGGAUCCGCGCCGCAUUAGCUAGUUGGUAAGGUAACGGCUUACCAAGGCAACGAUGCGUAGCCGACCUGAGAGGGUGAUCGGCCACACUGGAACUGAGACACGGUCCAGACUCCUACGGGAGGCAGCAGUAGGGAAUCUUCCGCAAUGGGCGAAAGCCUGACGGAGCAACGCCGCGUGAGUGAUGAAGGUCUUCGGAUCGUAAAACUCUGUUAUUAGGGAAGAACAAAUGCGUAAGUAACUAUGCACGUCUUGACGGUACCUAAUCAGAAAGCUACGGCUAACUACGUG
rnacentral:rRNA from 1 species